UUCACUUCAUGUUUGUAGAUUUGCACAUAUAGACCGUUUUCAACUGACGUCAGCAUUGUGGAUGACGGCCAUAUUGGGGAGUAAGUUUUAAAAGAAUGAAAACUCUUUUUUUAUUCAUAUGAAGGAACAUUGUGAACUCUUGAUGUGUAAAUGAAACCAACAAAUCAAAGGACUUACACCUCUUAAUCUCUAUAAAAACUAAUGGAUGGACUGAGAGGUGGUGGAAGAUGAAGAAGACGGAAGGGGAAAUAAUACCUUCGAGACAUCAAGGCUAUCGUACACCAUUUUCAUUAGCUCAGUGGAUGCGAGCUCCAAGAGGCGAAGUGAGGGUCCACGUAAUUGAGUGAUCUGUUUCCGUGCUACAAUGUCAAAAGCAU
rnacentral:lncRNA from 1 species